rnacentral:rRNA from 1 species
GAGCACCCCCGGCUUUCCGCUUUUAUUCGCCUUUUUUCCUCGGCUCGUCUCACUGCGCUGCGCUGGUCGUCGUCGUCUCCCUCCCUCCGAUCCCCUUUAUCCGCCCCACCCCAUCUCUCGCCUCGGAAGCUUCCACGAGCUCUCGGGGAGAGAGAUCACAGCCCCGUGUGACCGUCUCCAGCAUGGCUCUGUGGCGGCGCAGCUCGUCCUGGCUCACGUCCUGCUCGCGCGCGCCGGCCGGCAUCGGCGGCGGGAACGAGGCCAAGGUCUCGCCCGAGGUCGCCCCGGAGGACGCCGCCGCGGAGCACGAGGGCCGCCGCGCGGAGGCCGGGGACGAGGAGAGGUGGUCCCGCCUGCUGCCGGAGCUGCUCACGGACAUCGUGCGCCGCGUCGACGCCGGCGCCGAGCGCUGGCCCCCGCGCCGCGACGUCGUCGCCUGCGCCUGCGUCUGCCGCCGCUGGCGCGACGCCGCCGUCGCCGUCGUGCGCCCGCCGCUCGAGUGCGGCAGGAUCACCUUCCCUUCCUCGCUCAAGCAGCCUGGACCGAGGGAUGCGCCGAUGCACUGCUUCAUCAGGAGGAACAAAAGCACCUCCACCUUUUAUCUUUAUCUCAGCUUAACACAGGCCCUAACGGAUAAAGGGAAGUUUCUACUGGCUGCUCGAAGAUUCAGACACGGGGCACACACCGAAUAUAUCAUCUCUUAUGACUCUGAUGAUCUAUAUCCAGGAAGUAAUUCAGGUGUUGGAAAGCUGAGAUCGGACUUCCUGGGGACAAAGUUCGUCAUGUACGACAACCAGAAACCAUACGACGGCGCCAAGUCCUUGAAGAGCCGAUCAAGUCGCCGUUUUGCAACCAAACAAAUCAGCCCACACGUUUCAGGCGACAAUCUUGAAGUUGGACAGGUGUCAUACAGGUUCAACUUCCUCAAAUCAAGAGGGCCAAGAAGAAUGCACUGCAGUAUCCAGUGCCCCGUAGGCCAGGGCACCGCAUCCGAUCCAUCCAAGGAGAAGCCACCGAGCACCUCCAGCUCCUUGUCUCUAAAAAACAAAGCGCCUCGAUGGCACGACCACCUGCAGUGCUGGUGCUUGAAUUUCCACGGCAGGGUGACCGUCGCCUCCGUGAAGAACUUCCAGCUCGUCGCCCCGGCCGACACCAGCGAUCCAUGGGGCGUCGGGGACGAGGAGACGGUGAUCCUCCAGUUCGGUAAGAUCGAGGACGACGCGUUCACGAUGGACUUCCGGCAUCCCCUGUCGGCCUACCAGGCGUUCGCCAUCUGCCUCACCAGCUUUGGCACGAAGCUGGCCUGUGAAUAAGUGCCAUCUCUGUUGAUGUUACCGUGUGAAUCAUGUGGCGGAUGGCAUGAACUCUUGCUCUGUUAAUCCGGGAGAAAGGGGUGGCGCUGUGAUACUGUACUCGCAAUCUCUGCUCUUCUCUUUCUCGUCUGAUGAUGGAUGUGGAUUUGACUCUAUGGCUGUGAUUGUUGUUUGUAAAUGGCACUCCAUUUCUUUCGGUGAUUUACCCAUGGAGCAUGGUGUGUACCCUUGCUCCAAUGCCGUUUUACCGUUCACGUAGAUAGACAGAAGCUUGACAUGGUCUGGGGCUGCUAAUCUGCAUUGACAAAUUAACCCUUGUACAUGUCGUUAUGGUUACCUUCCUCCAAUGCCGUUUUUACCGGCAAUGUAUCCCUUUUGUGGUCUACAUGUCAUUGUAAUGUUAAGUAGUAACAUUUGUAUCAUUGUCUGAUUGUUAGUAGGUGCAAACGAUGGCAUGAGUGAAAAACACCAGCAACUCACCACCAUGGAACCAAAAUGGAUGCAGUAGUACAUACCAGUACGAGCGUUAUGAUUUUGUAUUUAGUACAGACUAGAGGCAUACGCCGUUUGGUCAAAAAUCAAAAUGCUUGGGCUUGAUUGUUUGGU